AAAAAUGAGAGUUUGAUCCUGGCUCAGGACGAACGCUGGCGGCGUGCCUAAUACAUGCAAGUCGAGCGAGCAGAACUAACAGAUCUACUUCGGUAGUGACGUUUCGGAAGCGAGCGGCGGAUGGGUGAGUAACACGUGGGUAACCUGCCCUUAAGUCUGGGAUACCACUUGGAAACAGGUGCUAAUACCGGAUAACAACAAGUGCUGCAUGGCACUUGCUUGAAAGGCGGCGCAAGCUGUCGCUAAAGGAUGGACCCGCGGUGCAUUAGCUAGUUGGUAAGGUAACGGCUUACCAAGGCAACGAUGCAUAGCCGAGUUGAGAGACUGAUCGGCCACAUUGGGACUGAGACACGGCCCAAACUCCUACGGGAGGCAGCAGUAGGGAAUCUUCCACAAUGGGCGAAAGCCUGAUGGAGCAACGCCGCGUGAGUGAAGAAGGUUUUCGGAUCGUAAAGCUCUGUUGUUGGUGAAGAAGGAUAGAGGUAGUAACUGGCCUUUAUUUGACGGUAAUCAACCAGAAAGUCACGGCUAACUACGUGCCAGCAGCCGCGGUAAUACGUAGGUGGCAAGCGUUGUCCGGAUUUAUUGGGCGUAAAGCGAGCGCAGGCGGAGAAAUAAGUCUGAUGUGAAAGCCCUCGGCUUAACCGGGGAAUUGCAUCGGAAACUGUUUUUCUUGAGUGCAGAAGAGGAGAGUGGAACUCCAUGUGUAGCGGUGGAAUGCGUAGAUAUAUGGAGGAACACCAGUGGCGAAGGCGGCUCUCUGGUCUGUAACUGACGCUGAGGCUCGAAAGCAUGGGUAGCGAACAGGAUUAGAUACCCUGGUAGUCCAUGCCGUAAACGAUGAGUGCUAAGUGUUGGGAGGUUUCCGCCUCUCAGUGCUGCAGCUAACGCAUUAAGCACUCCGCCUGGGGAGUACGACCGCAAGGUUGAAACUCAAAGGAAUUGACGGGGGCCCGCACAAGCGGUGGAGCAUGUGGUUUAAUUCGAAGCAACGCGAAGAACCUUACCAGGUCUUGACAUCUAGCGCAAUCCGUAGAGAUACGGAGUUCCCUUCGGGGACGCUAAGACAGGUGGUGCAUGGCUGUCGUCAGCUCGUGUCGUGAGAUGUUGGGUUAAGUCCCGCAACGAGCGCAACCCUUGUCAUUAGUUGCCAGCAUUAAGUUGGGCACUCUAAUGAGACUGCCGGUGACAAACCGGAGGAAGGUGGGGACGACGUCAAGUCAUCAUGCCCCUUAUGACCUGGGCUACACACGUGCUACAAUGGGCAGUACAANNNNNNNNNNNNNNNNNNNNNNNNNNNNNNNNNNNNNNNNNNNNNNNNNNNNNNNNNNAGCAAGCCUGCGAAGGCAAGCGAAUCUCUGAAAGCUGUUCUCAGUUCGGACUGCAGUCUGCAACUCGACUGCACGAAGCUGGAAUCGCUAGUAAUCGCGGAUCAGCACGCCGCGGUGAAUACGUUCCCGGGCCUUGUACACACCGCCCGUCACACCAUGGGAGUUUGCAAUGCCCGAAGCCGGUGGCCUAACCUUCGGGAAGGAGCCGUCUAAGGCAGGGCAGAUGACUGGGGUGAAGUCGUAACAAGGUAGCCGUAGGAGAACCUGCGGCUGGAUCACCUCCUUUCUAAGGAA
rnacentral:rRNA from 1 species